UCCAUAUUCUUCUAUUUUUACCAGAAAUUUAAUCUACUUAUAUCUCAACAGUGGUAUUAGAGCUGUUGUUCUUGUGGGCUGUUAAGCAAGCUUGUUAUUUAAUUAAACUUCAUCAAGUUGAUAUAAAAUGGCCAUGAAUGUGAAUUUACCUGUAUCACCAGUGUUCACACGAGAAAGUUAUGAUUAUUGGGCUGUGAGGAUAGAAUCAUAUUUACUUGCUUAUGACUUGUGGGCUGCUAUAGAGGAGAAUUAUUUUUGGUUGUCUUUAGCUGAAAAUCCUACAUUAACACAAAUUCGUCAGGAUACUGAGGGCUCCAUGAAGAAUUUCAAAACUCUAUCUAUUAUUCAUUCAGCUGUAUCAUAAAAUAUUUUUUCAAGACUGGUUGGUUUUAGAACAGCAAAGAAAGCUUAGGAUUAUUUGAAAGAGGAGUAUGCUAAAAGUGAAAAGGUGAGGGGUGUAAAAUUAUUAACAUUAAAGAGGGAGUUUGAGUUGAUGAAGGUGCAAGAAGGUGAAAGUGUUAAAGACUACUCUACCAAGGUUAUGAAUCUGGUAAAUUAAAUCAAAUUGCUUGAAGGGGACUUCAAGGAUCAAAAAGUAGUAGAAAAGAUGAUGAUUAGCCUUCCUGAGAGGUUUGAAUCAAAACUCUCAGUGAUUAAAGAAACAUGUGAUCUUGAGAAGCUUACUGUUGCUGAACUUCUCAGUAAGCUACAGAUUCAUGAGUAGAGGAUUUCAAUAAGAAAUAAUGAGCUCACUGAAAAUGCUUUUCAAGUAAGACAGAGGUACAAGUUUGGGACCUCAACUUCAAAAGAUAAAGGUCAAUCAUUAACAAAUAAAAGAAAACAACCACAGAGUUCAAAAAAUUCAUCAGAAAAAGGAAAGUAUCCUCCUUAUGGAGGUUGUAGUAAAUCCAAUUAUCUCGAGAGUAAGUGCUAGAAGCAUGUACAAUGCAAGAUUUGCAAAAAGUAUAGUCAUUCAGAGAAGGUAUGUUGGAAGAAAAAAAAUCAAGCAUCACAGCAAAAGAAUCAGACUCCACAACAACAACAACCACUUCAGUAACAAGAAACCUAUUUUGCUGAGAACCAUGAACAGCAAGAAAGUCAUCUUUUCAUGAUGACUGAGACAUCUUGUGUGAGUGAAAGUGAUUUCUAGUAUGUAGACAGUGGGUGCACAAGCCAUAUGGCCAAGGAUCGUAUGUUAUUCAACAACUUGGAUGUUAAUUGCAGAAUUAAAGUGAAACUUGACAACAUGACAGUUGUGGAAGCUCAAGGAAAAAACUCAAUAUAAGUUCAAACUUAGCAAGUUAUUAAACUCAUAACUGAUGUGCUCUUUAUUCCUGGUUUAGAGUAAAAUUUAUCGAAUGUUGCUCAAAUGCAAAACAAGGUUAUUCCAUUUUGCUCAAAAAUGAUUACUGCUUUAGUUAUGAUUCUAUAAAUAUGCUAAUAGCAAAAAUCAAGAAAAAUAAUAAUAGCUAUGUGCUUGGUCUGCAAUAUAGAAAUCAACAUGCUUUUGUUGCCAAUGAUGAUUUGACCUACUUGUGUCACAAAAGAUUUAGUCAUGAUAAUGUUGACUCUUUGAAGUUUAUGCAAAAGAGUAGAGAUGUGUUUGUUACUGAAUCAACAUUUUAGAAUUGGGAUAAAAAACAAGUUGAAGCAAAGAAAGCUCAUAAAAGAUGCAGCUGUUGCAGCUUCAAGUUCCCAAAGUGUUCCUAUUGAAAAAAUUCAAUUUGAUUUUGCAAAAUUUAGUGAUCUAAUUGCAAACACACCAGACACAAAAACCAAGUUAUUAACAGAAGAUUAUGAAAGGUGCAAUUUGGUCAUCAUUAAAUCAACAAACAAUGAAGAGCCUAUGACGUACAAGGAGUGGCAUCUUGCUAUGCAGGAUGGAGAGGCUGACAUGGUAUAUGAGUUGAAGAAGGCCUUGUAUGGGCUAGUGAAAUAUCAUUUUCUUUGUGAAGUUGAGAAGGAUGGUGAAUUUGGUUUAGUGUACUGUAAUUCUAAUGAUCAAGUUGUUGAUAUAAAAGCUCUAUCUUAUUGUAAAUUUGAAAAUUUGAUUGUUAAACUUGGUUGUUCAAUGAAAAACUCAAGGAGGAGUGUUAAAGAUUGAGUUUUUCAUGGAACAAGAAGCUGAUUUUUUUGUCAUUUCAACUCCAGAAUUAUCUGUUUUCUACUCUUUUUUAUGUUAACAGCUUUAGGUGGUAAGUUGUUAAAUAGGAAUGGAGUUUCAUAAUUUUUUGUUCAGCUCCAUACUUUUCUAAUUUAAUGAUGAUCUGCUUUAGAGUUGUUAGGAUUAGUUAGUGACUUAAUCUGUAAACUUUUCAUUUCACUUUGUAUAUAUAUAUAUAUAUGUAUCAAAUUAAUGAAAAAGUGCAGGUAAUUGAACACUUCCCCAGCAGUAGAAAACUCUCUUAUUUUUUCUGCAUUUUUCCCUCUUCAUUUUCUUCCAUAUUCUUCCAUUUUUUUCAGAAAUUUAAUCCACUCAUAUCUCAACACACUAGGUGAAAAACCACCUCUUGCAACUAGGUUUGUCCUAUAUAUAUAGAAAAAGGGAAAGAAUCAAUUUGAAAAGAACCCCCCUCACUUUUACCAAAACUUAAUUUUUGGAAUUUUUGAACAGUAAAAUCCUUUGCCUAUGAGCCACAAGUCACCAGAGUUUGACGCAUGCAGCUUCCGAACAUCUUUUCUAGUAAUUGAAUUGCAACAAGAGUCUGUUUAGUAACUUCUUAAAGCAAAGGUCUGGUUACUAACUUCCAAAUUAGUCUUGCAUGAUUAUUGAGAUUUUGAUUUCUUAACUUCUAAAUUUGCACUUUAGCAUAGUUUUUCUUCAUUUUCUUUAACACCUUUAGAGUGUGUAAAACACCUUCAACGUAAUUUAUCUUCAUUCUUUUUCACAAAUCUUAGGAUUGGUAAUCUAGAAAGAGUUUAUCAGCCUUAAAAAUAUUUAAGGGAGAGGCUUCUUUCAAACAAAUACUCUUUGUAAUAUUAUGAAUUGGUCGCAUUAGUACACUUAACUUUGUGUAGCUUAACAAUUUAAAAUGAUGCCAAAAGAGUUCAUAAUUUAACAACCACAACAAAAAGAAAAAUUAAAAGACACACAUAAUGAGCCAAUUAAUUAUGAACUCUUUUAUGUUAAUUAUGGUAUUGUUGGAUCGGAUUUUGUUUGCUUUGAGAUUUUUAUGUUAAUUAUGGUUUUUUUUAUUCUUGUUGAUUUAUUUCAGGAUCUGUUUUUUAAAUAUCUGUUGAAAUUAGUCCUGUUCUUUAGCUGACUUUUAGGAGAUUUAAAAUGAGUUUUCUGUUGCAAAAGUAGCUGAUAUUUUUAAAAGAUAUCAGCAGAUUUUUUAGUAUUUUUUUUGUAUUUCAGUUCUAUUGUAACUCUAUAUAUUUGAAGUUAGAAUUCAAUAAAAAUUAAACUUUCCAAAAAACAAACUUCUUGCUUCUGUUAAUCCACAAAUUAACAGUGGUAUCAGAACCCUUUUUUCUUAAGGGACUUGUGAGAAUUUUGGCUGAACGUUUACCAAAAAUAACAACCAAAUCUGCUUCUGAAAAAUACCAUUAAAACAAUGGAAGGUAAGAAUUCUUUUCAAGCCAUGGCUCCACCAGUGUUUGAUGGAGAAAACUACCAAGUGUGGGCAAUGAGAAUGGAAGCUUAUUUGGAUGCAUGUGCCUUGUCGGAAGCUGUAGAAGAAGAUUAGGAAGUGCCUACUCUAUCAGGAAAUUCAACCGUUGCUCAGAUCAAAAUCCAUAAGAAGAAGAAGAGAAGAAGAUCCAAAGCUAAAGCUUGUCUUUUUGCUGCAGUUUCUCCAACCAUUUUCAGCAGAAUAAUGACAUGUAGCUCAGCUAAAGCCAUAUGGAAUUUUCUCAAAAAUGAGUAUGAAGGAGAUGAAAGAAUUAGAGGAAUGAAGGUGCUGAAUCUGGUCAAAGAAUUUGAGAUGCAGCAUAUGAAGGAAGCAGAAACUGUUAAGGAUUAUUCAGAUAGGUUGAUUGACAUUGCAAAUAAGGUGAGAAUACUUGGAGCAGAACUCACCGAUAGUAGAAUAGUUCAAAAAAUACUUGUAUCAUUGCUUGAAAAAUUUGAAGCCACUAUUGCUUCUUUAGAAAACUCUAAAGAUCUGUCAAAAAUUAGUUUGGUAGAAUUGUUAAGUGCACUCCAGGCACAAGAACAAAGAAAGAUGAUGAGGCAAGAGGGAACUAUUGAAGGAGCUUUGCAAGCCAAGUUGCGGCUGAAUUCUGGAGAUAGAAGUAAGAAAUGGAAAGGAAAAAAUGGGAGUGUCAGCAACUCUGAAACUACAGCAGCUGAGAACAACACCAACGCUACAAAUAAAAAAGGAAAAUAUCCUCCUUGUCAGCAUUGUGGCAAAAAGAAUCAUCCAUACUACAAAUGUUGGAGAAAGUUAGAUAUGAAAUGCAGAAAAUGUCAAAAGCUUCGGCAUGCAGAGAUUAUUUGUAAGGAAAAGGAGAUGCAGCAGCAGGGAGACGCUCAAGUUGCAGAUCAACAAGAAGCAGAACAGCUCUUUGUUGCAUCUUGCUUUGCAUCCAGCAUUCUAAGUGAUAGCUGUCUCAUUGAUAGUGGUUGUACAAACCACAUGACAAGUGAUGAAAGUCUCUUUAGAGAACUUGAUAAAUCAGCAACAUCAAGGGUAAGAAUUGGAAAUGGAGAAUAUAUAUCAGUAAAACGAAAGGGGACUGUCGCAAUCGAAAGUUUCACAGGUACAAAACUUAUUUCUGAAGUUCUGUAUGUCUCUAAAAUUGAUCAAAAUUUACUCGGUGUUGCAAACUUGCUAGAGGAAGGGUUCAAGCUUUUAUUUGAAAAUAAAAUGUGUCUAAUCAUUGAUUCAAAUGAUCAAGAAUUAUUCAAAAUUAAGAUGUAGGGUAAAAGCUUUUCUUUGAAUCCAUUAGAGAAGGAGUAAGUGGCAUUUCCUAGUCAACACAGUAGUGCAGAAAUAUAGCACAAAAGGUUAGGACACUUUCAUCACGAAGGCUUGUUGUUUAUGCAAAGAAAAGAAAUGGUAAAAGGAACUUGGAGGAACAUGUUUCAAGCUGUAAGGCUUGUCUAUUUGGCAAGCAAAUUAGACUUCCAUUCAAAACAUCUACUUGGAGAGCUAGAGAGAAGUUGCAGCUGAUCUAUACUGAUGUUUGUGGACCACAAACAACUCCAUCACUAAAUGGCAGCAGGUAUUAUAUAGUUUUUAUUGAUUAUCUAACAAGAAUGUGUUGGAUUAAUUUUAUGAAGUUCAAGUCAGAAGUUGCUGGAAUCUUCCUAAAGUUCAAAAACUGGAUUGAAAACCAAAGUGGCUGCAAGAUUCAAGUAAUCAGAUCAGAUAAUAGAACUGAAUAUACAUCAGAAAAAUUCAAUUCCUUUUGUGAAGAAGCUGGAAUUGAGCACCAAUUCACUGUCCUUUACUCUCCACAACAAAAUGGGGUUAGUGAAAGGAAGAAUAGGGCAAUCAUGGAGAUGACUAGAUUUUUGCUGCAUGAGAAGAAUCUACCAAAGAAAUUCUGGGCAGAAGCAGAAAAUACUGCUGUUUUUUUGCUGAAUAGACUACCUACAAGAGCAUUGGAAAGAAAGAUUCCAUUUGAGGCUUGGCAUGGUGUUAAACUUAUUUUAAAAAAUCUUAAAAUAUUUGGAUGUCUUUGUUUUUCUUAUGUUCCACAGGUUAAAAGGGAUAAACUUGAUGAGAAGGCUGAACUUGGAAUAUUCAUUGAUUAUAGUUUGGUUUCGAAAGCCUACAAAAUUUUUCAACCUUAGUCCGUGAUGAUUGUGAUAAGCAGAGAUGUUCAAUUCCUUGAACGUGAGCAAUGAGACUGGAAUGAGGAAUCUCAAAUCAAACAUCAUAUCUUGCAAUUGGAUCCAGAUGAGUUAGAGGACGAACAAUCUGUAAGGAGAACAAGAUAACUUUCAGAUAUUUAUAAAAAAUGUAAUGUUGCUGUUUUUGAGCAUGCAGGAUAUGAUAAAGCAAAAACAGAUCAAAAAUGGAUAGAUGCAACGAAGGAGGAGUUGGCAAUAAUUUAAAAGAACUAGACUUGAAAGCUAGUGGAGAGGCCCCAAGAUAGAAAGGUAAUUGGGGUUAAAUGGGUAUUUAGGACAAAACUAAAUCCUGAUGGUUCAAUAAACAAACACAAAGCAAGACUGGUUGUAAAAGGUUAUGCACAAGUUUGGGGUGUAGAUUUUUCUGAAACUUUUGCGCCAGUAGCCAAAUUGGAUAGCAUUAGAAUGUUUUUGGCUUUAACAACACAAAAGGGAUGGAAGACCUUUCAAAUGGAUGUGAAGGGUUCCUUCUUGAAUGGUAUACUCCAAAAAAAAAUUUAUGUUGAGCAGCCACAAGGUUUCAGUUUACUAAAAAAUGAAGAAAAAGUCUAUUUAUUGAAGAAAGCUCUCCACAGAUUGAAACAGGCUCCUAGAGCUUGGUACAACAAGAUAGAUGAACAUUUGCUCAACUUUGGCUUUGAAAAGAGUUUAAGUGAAUCAACUCUUUAUGUCAAGAGAGUUGGCUGUAACAUAGUUAUCAUUUCUCUUUAUGUAGAUAAUUUACUUGUUACUGGAAAUAAUGUUGUACAAGUUGAAGAAUUCAAGGAGAUGAUGAAGGUCUUUGAGAUGAUAGACCUUAGAGAGAUGACAUAUUUUUUGGGUAUGGAGAUUAAACAAAUGCAAAAUGAAGUCUUCAUUUGCCACAAGAAAUAUCUGAAGGAGAUUCUAAAAAGGUUUAAAAUGAAAGAAUGCAAGAGUGUGAAGACUCCUAUGAAUAAAAAGGAGAAGCUGCAUAAAGAAGAUGAAUCUUAACUUGUUGAUGAAGGAAUAUACAAAAGCUUAAUUGGAUGUUUAAUGUAUCUCACAGCAACAAGGCCAGAUAUCUUAUUUUCUGUGAGCAUUUUAUUUAGAUUUUUGAAUUCUGCUAGAGAGUUGCAUAUGAUGGCUAUUAAAAGAAUGCUUAAUUGAAGUUUGGAUAUGAGAUCCAAACUUGUUUUGUACUUUAUUAAUGAGGGGAAGGAUUCACUAAUUUUCUUUUUGAGCCAACAAGUUUGUUGGAUAUCUAAUAACAACGCUUGUUUUAUACUUUAAUAAUUUUUUUUUGUUUUCUAUGUUUAAAUAAUUUGUUCCAUUUCUAAUUCUUUUUCCAUGAAAAAUUUUGUACAAUUGGAGUAUGUUAUUAUUAAUUAAAAACUUAACAAAAAUUGUAGUGUUAGUUAAAUAUUGUUAGUAAAAAGUUAGAAUGACCCAAAAUAAAUCACUUUGUCAAGUAAAAAUAAGAUUAAAAAAAAGCUGAUGAUGAAAACUAUAAAAUAAAAUGAAUAGAAGAUGGCUCCAUGUGCUGCAUACUGAUGGAGUCUGUGUUAAGAAUGGAUCCCAAUGGGUUUUUCUAUUUUUUUUUUUUUGACUUUGACCAUGUGGACAGCCAUUGCCAAAUUAAUGUCAACUACAAAAAUGUGACAAGUAUAAAUAAAAGCAACGAAGGAGACGCCAAAGCUAUAAAAAUAAAACGAAUAGGAAAUGUGAAAACUAUAAAUAAACAACUGCCCAAUCAUUUUUUCAAGUAAAUUUGUCCGGUCAUUUGUGCACACCUCUGAACCCAGAAUUUUAUCAUGCAAGAAACACAGAUGGGUUGGCUACUCUAAUAUAUAUUGGUCUUGGGGUUUGGGUAUGCAGCAUGUUUCCGAUCUGAUUCCAUUAAAUUACCUUCACAUCACCAUUGUGAGGUCAGGCCUGUACUGGUGAAAUAGGCUAUACUAGCAGAUCAAGUAGUUGUCUUCCGUCAAGGUAUGUUCUUGCACUCUUUGGAUUUGUUUGUUUCCUCGGAAAAUAAGCUUGACUUUCCUUCUCCUCAGGCUAAUCCGGGUGCCCCAAGGAUCUUUCCUUGGUUACCAUUUGAAGUUUUCUUCGUUGCUUCCGUGUUUUUUACCUGCACCACUCUAGUUCUUGUUCACCGUGCUCCGUUUUUCAUUUAUCAAUUCUGAUUUUAGUAAAGUUUCCAUUUGUUUGGAUUGUGAGAUUGGCUUUGGAUGUGAUCUUUUUCAAUUAUCUCCAUGACAUAAUUUUGGGUUUAUCUGUAAAUUUGUUUUAUGGCUAAAAUCUAAUUUAAUCAAUCUUGAAUAUCAUUUUUAAUCAUGUUUAGGCGGAUAUUUAUGUCGAAUACGAAGUGGAGUGAGAGCUACAAUCAGCACAGUAUAUUUUACGUUGAAAAAGAAAAUUAUAUAGCUUUGGUAUAUCUACCUUAUUGCUCUAUUUCUAGUUCUGAUAUGAGUUUGAGAUACAGUUUUAAGAUAAUAAUACGUCACCAAAGGCAUAUACUCACAAACACACAUAAACAUACAAAAAAGUCUUGGAUACACAUUAUUGUGUGCUAUGGGUUAUAGGCUAACAUAAACUAUUAUAGACACUUACAGUUGGCAAAAAAUCAGUAUUUUACGAGUUAAUGCGUAGUAAUUUUCUUUUAUAGUUUUCUUUUAUCUUUAUUGCUCAGAUUCCAGUUUAGUGUUAUUUUAAAUUAUGUAUUAUCAAAUUAACAAAUUUGUGGGGAGAAGCUGUAAAAAUAAUUUGUUAUUGUAAAAAGGGAUGGAACACUUGUGCCAUGGUAGUCCAUUGAUGCUAACGGAGAUGGCUAUUGAAGAUGAAGUCUUGUGUCAAGGAUGUGGGAAGACCAUUUCAGGUCAGAGCUACGGUUGCAGUGAGCAUAAGUUUUAUCUGCAUAAAUCCUGUGCUGAGCUUCCCUUAAAGAUUAAGAGCAUCUUCCACUUAAAGUCGCCUUACUCUGCAUAAGGAUUACACUAAGGAUAGUGAAAAAAGUUGUAUAUGUUAUUGUUGUAAGAAACAUAUACCAGGUUUCAGAUACAGUUGUGACAAUUGUNNNNNNNNNNNNNNNNNNNNNNNNNNNNNNNNNNNNNNNNNNNNNNNNNNNNNNNNNNNNNNNNNNNNNNNNNNNNNNNNNNNNNNNNNNNNNNNNNNNNNNNNNNNNNNNNNNNNNNNNNNNNNNNNNNNNNNNNNNNNNNNNNNNNNNNNNNNNNNNNNNNNNNNNNNNNNNNNNNNNNNNNNNNNNNNNNNNNNNNNNNNNNNAAAGUAAUCAACUUCCGUCAUCCAUGUCCUAUGCUCCUGCGCAAGCUUCCCCCCAUACAUCUGUGGUAUUUGUAACCAAAUGCGUUCAGGUGUUGUAUUCCGAUGCGAGAAGUGUGACUUAAAUAUGGAUAUUGAAUGUGUUCUCCGUCACAAGACGAUUAAUCAUUUUAGCCAUGGACACCCAUUGACACUUUCUCACAAGAAAGAUGAUGAUGGUGCUUGCUGCAGAGCUUGUGGGAAGAAAUGCUCGGGUGCCACCUACUCUUGCAAUAGAUGCAGCUUUUGUUUACACGAAUCUUGCGGGGAAUUACAACGAGAGAUUCAUCAUGAACUUCAUGAACACCCUCUUACUCUCUUUGAUAAAUCAUUUCGAUGCGAUGCAUGCUUAGUGGAGUCCAAUGGUUUCACCUACAACUGCUCAUCGUGCAACUUCAAUCUCCAUGUUGAGUGCACUUCCUUGGCACCUUCUAUUAAAUAUGAAGGUCAUGAUGAGCAUCUUCUUACUUUUGUAAGUCAUGUUUAUGGGAAGCCUCCUUGCCAUGUGUGUGAUUCUAAAUAUUCUUGGGAUUAUAAAUAUUCUGGUGAUCCUAAAUAUUCUAAUAUUUCUAAAUAUUGUGGGGAUUCCUAUUUACGCUGUGUGAAGUGUGAUUUUAAUGUCCACCUCAUGUGUGUUCCGCUCCCUUGUGUAAUUGAACAUCCUUGCCACACUGAUCCUCUUGUUCUUAAAGAUUGUCAUAUAGACGAUGCUUCUGAAGGUCAAGAGUAUAUUUGCGACGUUCUUGAUUGUGAGCUGGAAAGAGAUCCUCGAGAAUGUGUUUAUUAUUGUGAAGAAUGUGACUUUGUAGCUCAGCUUGGUUGUGUUUUGGGAGAGGUAAUUACCGUCAUUAGUAAUUAUCAUCUAUCUCACUUCAUAUAUGCUUUUUGUUUAUGAUUAAAAGUAUGGGGGAAUAAUUUUCGUACAUGUUUGUCUGCCUUGCAGCUCUUGCCUCUAUUACAAGGAAAGUGUGGAAACGUGGAAUGGAAAAAAGUUGACAGAGAUGUUGCAGUUAAAUUACUGGAAAGAAAAUUCAUUUCCUUCAAUGACAUACUAAACUCUUUUGAUGAAGAUGAUAAGAAGGAAAUGGAUCAUGUUUUAUCAUCUUUUCGCAGGGAGCGUGACAUAAUCUUUAACAAUUCACCUGAGGACCAUUUGUCAAACUACGCCAAUAAUUUCUUUAAAUAUCAUUCAUAUUUGGACGAGGCUUUCUUCAGGUUUGCAGGCACAAUUGAGCCUAGAAUACCACUUGAGCUCACAAUCAAUGGAUUAGAGAUUGUCAAAGUUGGAAAUCAUGAGGUCACAAAACAAUUAAAACCUGUCUUAGAAAAGUUGAUUGAAAAAUAUGGUGAUUUCACCGCUGACUCCACUUUAAAAAGGCCCAAUGUCAAGACAUAUCACCUGGUUAUGUUUUGCCAUGUCGUACAUAGCAUGUGCAACACUAAGGUUAUGAAUAUCAAUGCAGAUUUACUGAGACAAUGGUGGAUUAACUGCAAAUUAGCACAGCGUGCUGGAUUCAAAAUUCAAUUUGCCUUUGAAAGUCUGAACAAAGUAGCAUAUGUUCGGUUUACCCUUGUAUCUGAAUUACAUGCAGGUGCCAUCCUUGAUCAAUAUGAUGAUCGAAUCACAGAGUAUUCUAAUCGGAUUAUGGAAUGCAGAAAACAAUUAGAGGAACUCAAAGAAAAGCGUGUGCAACAUGUAUCAUCUACUAGAUUCGCAGAAUCAAGUCAAGCGGAGGGAUUCUUGCGCGAAGCUUUGGCCUUGAGAUUGAAUACAGCAAUGGCUAAUAUGUUGUAAUCUAUGCAGACACCUGAAUUACUUUCAUGUUUAAGCAUUCAUAAUUCAAUUGCAUCCUUGUCAGGUCUUUUGAUUUGUUGUCCUUAUGAUGUAACUGGCAAUAAACAAGUUUCUGAGUUUAUCAAGACAAGAAAGCCUUACUUCGUCUUGCUUCCCAAAAAAUUCAUUUAAAACUAGAAAUUGAUUCUAAUUAGUUCAGAAAUCAGUUAUUAAUUUCAGGUAAUUGAUUGUGAUCACUUUUGCCAUAAUCCUACCUAUAUAUCUACAUUGAGUUAUUCAAGAUGAGAAUUUGUACAGAUGACUAGAAUGGGCGAGUAGUAACAGCUUGAAAUACAUGAAGUACUAAGCAAUUAUUUUGGCUCCUACGAAAUACAAACCUCUAUUCAAAUUUGGAAAGAAAAAGAAAACGAAAAAUGAACUAAAAAAUUAACAAAGACGUACUUAAGAAAUUAGCCCAAGUUCAUUAGCAGCUUAAGAAAUUUUUGUCUCCAUGUCCAUAUCUCUGACAUCCGCAGGAAGAAAAAGAAUAGCGUCCAGUGUCUACUUCAAAGAAAAUCAACUAUCACUUUUUUAAACUAAGUUCUAAUGGAGUGCCUUCUAAUGCGACAGAGACACCUAAAAGAACUAGAUAAACGUUUAAUAUAUCGUUAAUAAUAAUUAUCGCCUAUGUAAGAAAUGCAAAAAGAAAAUGCUUUUUAAGUAUUCCCUUUUACCCUAAGAUGACCCAGAUGCAAUUCUAGAAUCAUAUACGAAAUAUAACAUCUGGAAAGCGCAGUUACACUGGCACCAAUAACAAGUACCAAAUACACUACCAAUACAAAUUAAUCCCUUAAAAACUUGAAGAAAAAGUACUCAAUUCAAGCAACUCAAGCAGACAUUCAGAACAACUAAUACGUAAAGUAUACCAAUAUAAACAUAUGCAUAAUCCAGAAUUUGAAUUGGCAGUACCAGAGUUGGAGUCGGCGAGCCCGCUGAGCUUUACAGGUUCCUGUGAGGCGGGCUCCAAAAUAAGAGUUCGGCAACUUUGAUACUGACACCCAUGAGAAUCAUCAGGCAACUGAGGAUUUGAAUAGUGUGAUUUUAAGAAUCCAAAUACAAAGUGUUGAUUGAGAUUCUUCUUUCUGCACAUGGUAAGGACGACGUUUUGGCCCAUCGACCUUGUUAUGGCCCUUAAUGAUAGCAUUUUCACUUGAAAAAUAGGAAGCGCAACAAACAGCAUAUCGGAUAUUUGUGUGCAAGGCGUGAGGCCGAGGAAACGACCAUCCACGGUCCACCAACGAACCACUGCAUGAGAUAGAACAAACGACGUUAACAGGUUGGGAAGCCACAGAGCGGGGAGCACAGCCAGGUGCUCCCAAUCAUUGGGUCAGUCGCAAGCAGACAGGGAAGAUUGGGGAUUUAGCUGCGUUGGGUUGCUUUUUUAUUAUCAUUGUUAUUUGAAUUGGCUGCUGCGUUGAUCGGGCUUCGUCCCCAAGUAGCCUGAAAUUGAAAAGGCAGUGAUCCAUCCAUGGUCCUCUAGCAACGGUCAGGUAGAUAAACUCUACCCUGUGUUGGCUUAGAAACAGUGCAUUUAAAAAUUUUAUUUUGAUGAUUAAAAAGGGAUAGAUUAGAGAUGAAUAUUUAUUAAAAUUUAUUGAAAAAUUUUAAGUAUAUUCAUGAAUUUCUUUUUAGGAGCUAAAAAUAGAAUGAGAUAUUGUGGUGUUUAUUAAACUUUAUUUAAUUUUUUUAGAAUAUACUUAUCAUUUUUUGCAUCUGCGCGUCCUUACUUAGUAUAUUCAUGAAUUU
rnacentral:lncRNA from 1 species